AACGAACGCUGGCGGCGCGUUUUAAGCAUGCAAGUCGGACGGUAAGGGAGAAGCUUGCUUUUCCCCUAGAGUGGCGAACGGGUGAGUAACGCGUAGAUGAUCUACCUUUUGGUUGGGGAUAGCUCAUGGAAACAUGGGGUAAUACCGAAUAAGAUCUUUUUGCUAUGGCGAAGGGAUGAAAGGGGCUUCGGCCUCGCCGAGAGAUGAGUCUGCGUAUGAUUAGCUAGUUGGUGUGGUAAAGGUGCACCAAGGCGACGAUCAUUAGCCGGCCUGAGAGGGUGACCGGCCACAUUGGGACUGAGACACGGCCCAGACUCCUACGGGAGGCUG
rnacentral:rRNA from 1 species